GGCUGCUGAAGACAAAAAUAAGCCUCAAGAGAGAAUACCAUUUGACCGUGAUAAAGAUCUCAAGGUUAAUCGGUUUGAUGAAGCUCAGAAAAAAGCCCUAAUAAAAAAAUCUAGAGAACUAAACACCAGAUUUUCACACGGCAAAGGCAAUAUGUUUUUAUAAGGGGAUUUCCCUGUGCAAUGAAGAAAAGUUGAAGAAUACUCUUUGUCCAUCUUUAUUUCUUUGUUUUUGGCUUCUUAAGAUUAGAGAUUACUUUAAUCUUAAAAAACAUACAAAUUUACCUUGUUCUGUAUGUCCUUUUAAGGUCAUGUGGAAACAUAAAACGAAUGUUUUUUAUGUAGAACAGAAUAUUCUAUGUGCCUUUAGCUUCUGUGGAAGUAUGGGGAAUUAUGGGCUUUUCUUCAAAUAAUUAUUUUAAGAGGCUUCCAUUCCCCCUGAUUUUUGUGGUGUCUCACAAGUACCCUCUAAGGUCUGGUCAGGACUGACCACCAAAUCUCUACCACAGCCUGGACCUCCUUGUGAAAUAUACCUAACCUGCCCUAGAGUCAGUGUGUCAAGUCCUUACUGUAAAUCCAUGACUUUGAAAUUUGUUGUUUUUUCCCUUUAAACUGCAGCCAGUGAAUACAAAUUUACUUGAAAAUAGAGGGUAUGGGGUUUUGCCUGUUUUGUAAUCAGUUUGCUUGUUUUAGCACUCAGGGCUUUUUAUUUGUUAUUUAAUUUUUUAAUUGUUUUUAAGUCAGAAAGAUCUCUGGGUUAUCUCAUGUGCUAAGGAAAAACUAUUUUGCUUUUUCCAACUUUAAUAGUUAGUAUUUCUAGGGGAGGCAAUCAAGAUAAGAUAUGCCAUUAACUGUUAGCAUUGUGAAAUCUGUAAGACUCAAUCUCUGAUCUCAACCAAAGCUUUCUGAGUCCUGGAACUUUGCUUUGGGACAACUUUACUUUACCCAUUUAUAUGCUGUACUUAACAGUUUGUAGCUAAUUUAUGGGGUCAUAUCUUUUUUUUAGCUAAUUUACGGGGGUCAUAUCAGUCAUGAAUAGCCUUUUUUAAAAAUUUAAUAAUCCCUGAAUACAAAAAUGGAAAUGGAAAAUUUAUAAUCAUAACCCCCCUAAUUGGGAGUAUUAUAAGUUUGUAAUGCUUUAAGCACUGCCUCUUAAGAUGAUAAAUUUAUAAGAUGAGAAAUUCUAUUUAAACUAUUAAAC
rnacentral:lncRNA from 1 species